CCAGCUCUGACAAGGGAGGACAAGCUCCUACCUUCACAAAACCCCUUCCUGUCGAUCUGGGCGCUGACCGACACGCGUCCGUCGGGGAUGAACAUACAAGACACCUUCUUCUCCUUCUUGGCAGCAACCGGGGACUGUGGAGAAAUCAGGGUAAAGCUGCACUUACCAACAAUUCCGGAGUGUUCACGUCGACAGGAUCCAUCACCUCGAAGCGUUUCUUUAUCUCCUGGGUGGGGAAGGACGGGCGCUCCAGAAAAGCCUUCACCCAAUAAUCCACGCAGCCGUACUUGCCCUUGAACGUGGUACCCAGAGGCCUGCGGGAAGAGACGCUUCUUAGACACGUCUCAAGCAACAGAAGCGCUUUUCUGUAACAAUCUGAUUUAAUUUUCUUUUUAAGAGGCAACGCUCGGCUCGUACUCACCCCUGCGGGAGCUCGAAUCCGAACUUGUACUCGUAUUUAUUGCCAGGUCUCAGGAUUACGGAGCCGUCCCCAUCUGGGAAAAGGGAAGAAAGAGGAAGGGAAACGUCAGCUGAAGCUCCGUGGGUUUGUUCUCAAGCGUGAUCCCCGUCCUGCUGACACCGCGUCCCCAAAGCCGGGAACUCCUCCUUUCGACAUCCCCAUGGGCGCCGGGACAGCGCGUCCCGCUGCGCUCCGGUCCCGUCCCCUCGCCACACCCUCCCGUUUGCGGGAACACCCGGCAAUCUCUCCAUCUCCCAGGCUCCGCGUCACCCCGUUAUCUCCCGGGACGCUCUGCCAAGUCCCUAUCUCUGGGAGAAGCCCCACCAGGAAGCUGCUGGGGGGAGGUCUCUGUACCCAGGAGGAAAAACUCCCUUGUCUGGGGUGAGAUCUGCCUGCGCCGGGACCUUCUGUGCCGCCACACAACCGUGGCACCCGCCGCCCGCGGGCACAGCGGCUCCGCCAACCGCACCAACACCGUAAACCAGCUCAUUAAAUGAACCUAACUGCCGAUUUUAGGUAUCAACCA